AACGCUGGCGGCGUGCCUAACACAUGCAAGUCGAGCGAGGACAGUCCUUCGGGGCUGAGCCGAGCGGCGGACGGGUGCGUAACACGUGAGCAACCUGUCUUCCGUGCGGGGGAUAACCCGGGGAAACUCGGGCUAAUACCGCAUGGUCGGACCUCUCGCCUGGGGGGUUCGGGAAAGAUGGCCUCUUAACAAUGCUAUCGUGCGGAGAGGGGCUCGCGGGCUAUCAGCUGGUUGGUGAGGUAAUGGCUCACCAAGGCGACGACGGCUAGGGGGUCGGAGAGGACGACCCCCCACAUUGGAACUGAGACACGGUCCAGACUCCUACGGGAGGCAGCAGUGGGGAAUUUUGGGCAAUGGCCGAAAGGCUGACCCAGCGACGCCGCGUGCGGGAGGACGCCCUUCGGGGUGUAAACCGCUGUCAGAGGGGACGAAAGGCCGGGGUGGGAAUACUGCCCUGGAGUGAGGGUACCCUCAGAGGAAGCACCGGCUAACUCUGUGCCAGCAGCCGCGGUAAUAC
rnacentral:rRNA from 1 species